UCCGGUAACAAUGGCAGAGAGGCCACACCUGUUCCCAUGCCGAACACAGAAGUUAAGCUCUCUAGCGCCGAUGGUAGUUGGGGUUCUUCCCCUGUGAGAGUAGGACGUUGCCGGGC
rnacentral:rRNA from 1 species